CUGGAUCCAGAUGUUCCAGCUGUGGAAGCCCCCUAAGCCCUCAGCUGCAAGAAGUGAUACAGGAAGGACACUUAAGGUCUUCAGCUGAAACCUAGCCUUCAGGAAACAGCUACCUGCUCUCUUUCCUCACCUCUGCCACAAAUAUGGAAGAGGUUUUGUUGAUUGUAACUGUGUGAAGCUUUUGGGACCUGACAUUAAGGAAGUACAUCAGGAAGGCCACGAAAGAAGUCAGCUCUGCAGACUGUUCAGACCAAGCAAGACCCGAAAGCGCUGAUGCCAGAACACUGAUGUUUGCAGCCAGUAAUUUGGUCAACAGGGGACCUACAACUGGUAUCAGUGAGACACCAGGAGCACAACAUAAUAAUCAUGAUCUUCAGAGAACUAAAAGACUGCUACACAAAACAACAUUUAAGAACAGGCAAAUUCAAAACCUGGUGCUACCUACCAAGAAUGAAAGGUACACAGAAGAGAAAAACUUUAAAACAGAAGCACUGGAAGACCCAGAGAAGAAUGGCACAUGAGAUGGCUAAAUUUUAAACAAAACAUGGGCCAGCCUUCUCCUUUUCAGCCCUUUCUUCAUGCAGCAGAAAGUGGCUGGAAGAAAACCUGAAAGCCUGG
rnacentral:lncRNA from 1 species